ACAUAAAUCAUUAAAGGGGUUAGAGUAAACUUUUAACGCAAAGCUGAUUUUACACACUGUGAAAAUGUUCUUGCUGCUGCUGUCUCUCUAACAGUGUGACAUGUCCCCUUGCUGCUACACUCGCUACAUCCAUCUCUUUCUCUGUCCCAGACUGCACACUGCUAGUAAGAAGGGAAGGAGAGGAGUAAACAAGUGAGUCCUGAGAAGAAAGAAUUAAGAGUUUGUGAUUGUUGAUAGAGAGGAGCUGAGAGCUGUGGGGCAUGCAGACUGGACAGAUUGACUGGGUUUAGAAAUAAAAGCGAGAGAUUAGCAUUAGGUAUAG